rnacentral:miRNA from 1 species
UCCACUUGGAGAGCUCCCGCGGU